rnacentral:rRNA from 1 species
GAUGAACGCUGGCGGCGUGCCUAACACAUGCAAGUCGAGCGGUUUACUUCGGUAAAGAGCGGCGGACGGGUGAGUAACGCGUGGGUAACCUGCCCUGUACACACGGAUAACAUACCGAAAGGUAUGCUAAUACGAGAUAAUAUACUUUUAUCGCAAGGUAGAAGUAUUAAAGCUUCUGCGGUACAGGAUGGACCCGCGUCUGAUUAGCUAGUUUGUAAGGUAACGGCUUACCAAGGCGACGAUCAGUAGCCGACCUGGGAGGGUGAUCGGCCCAAUUGGAACUGAGACACGGUCCAAACUCCUACGGGAGGCAGCAGUGGGGAAUAUUGCACAAUGGGCGAAAGCCUGAUGCAGCAACGCCGCGUGAGCGAUGAAGGCCUUCGGGUCGUAAAGCUCUGUCCUCAAGGAAGAUAAUGACGGUACUUGAGGAGGAAGCCCCGGCUAACUACGUGCCAGCCGCCGCAGUAA